CCUACGGGGGGCAGCAGUGGGGAAUAUUGGACAAUGGGGGCAACCCUGAUCCAGCCAUGCCGCGUGUGUGAAGAAGGCCCUCGGGUUGUAAAGCACUUUCAGUGAGGAAGAACGCCUGGUGGUUAAUACCCAUCAGGAAAGACAUCACUCACAGAAGAAGCACCGGCUAACUCCGUGCCAGCAGCCGCGGUAAUACGGAGGGUGCGAGCGUUAAUUGGAAUUACUGGGCGUAAAGCGCGCGUAGGUGGCUUGAUAAGCCGGUUGUGAAAGCCCCGGGCUCAACCUGGGAACGGCAUCCGGAACUGUCAAGCUAGAGUGCAGGAGAGGAAGGUAGAAUUCCCGGUGUAGCGGUGAAAUGCGUAGAGAUCGGGAGGAAUACCAGUGGCGAAGGCGGCCUUCUGGACUGACACUGACACUGAGGUGCGAAAGCGUGGGUAGCAAACAGGAUUAGAUACCCGUGUAGUC
rnacentral:rRNA from 1 species